CAGCCGCCACGGUAAUACGUAGGGUGCGAGCGUUAAUCGGAAUUACUGGGCGUAAAGCGUGCGCAGGCGGUUUUGUAAGACAGGCGUGAAAUCCCCGGGCUCAACCUGGGAACUGCAUUUGUGACUGUAGAGCUGGAGUGCGGCAGAGGGGGAUGGAAUUCCGCGUGUAGCAGUGAAAUGCGUAGAUAUGCGGAGGAACACCGAUGGCGAAGGCAAUCCCCUGGGCCUGCACUGACGCUCAUGCACGAAAGCGUGGGGAGCAAACAGGAUUAGAUACCCCUGUAGUCCCUGUCUCUUAUAC
rnacentral:rRNA from 1 species